GAUGAACGCUGGCGGCGUGCCUAAUACAUGCCAGUCGAGCGAACGGACGAGAAGCUUGCUUCUCUGAUGUUAGCGGCGGACGGGUGAGUAACACGUGGAUAACCUACCUAUAAGACUGGGAUAACUUCGGGAAACCGGAGCUAAUACCGGAUAAUAUUUUGAACCGCAUGGUUCAAAAGUGAAAGACGGUCUUGCUGUCACUUAUAGAUGGAUCCGCGCUGCAUUAGCUAGUUGGUAAGGUAACGGCUUACCAAGGCAACGAUGCAUAGCCGACCUGAGAGGGUGAUCGGCCAAACUGGAACUGAGACACGGUCCAGACUCCUAAGGGAGGCAGCAGUAGGGAAUCUUCCGCCAUGGGCGAAAGCCUGACGGAGCAACGCCGCGUGAGUGAUGAAGGUCUUCGGAUCGUAAAACUCUGUUAUUAGGGAAGAACAUAUGUGUAAGUAACUGUGCACAUCUUGACGGUACCUAAUCAGAAAGCCACGGCUAACUACGUG
rnacentral:rRNA from 1 species